UACGGAGGAUGCAAGCGUUAUCCGGAAUUAUUGGGCGUAAAGCAUCCGCAGGUGGCACUUCAAGUCUGCUGUCAAAGACCGGGGCUUAACCCUGGAAAGGCAGUGGAAACUGAAGCGCUAGAGUGUGGCAGGGGUAGAGGGAAUUCCCGGUGUAGCGGUGAAAUGCGUAGAGAUCGGGAAGAACAUCGGUGGCGAAAGCGCUCUACUGGGCCAUAACUGACACUCAGGGACGAAAGCUAGGGGAGCGAAUGGG
rnacentral:rRNA from 1 species